rnacentral:tmRNA from 1 species
GUUUCAAUACGCCAUCGCCGUGUGUGGCGAGAACCCCCGAAUGCAGUCGUUGGCAACGGGUUAUGGCUGUAUGAAGCAGAGAGGAUGCGUUGCGGACGCGGGUUCGAUUCCCGCCAGCUCCACCACCUGUGCACCCGCAUGGAGCCCAGCUGAAGGGGCUGCACUGGUUUCGACGUGGCGAGCAGUCAAUGUGGACAGCCCGAGAGGCGACCGACGAAAUCGGCGCAAAACCAAGUAAAGGCUAAUGACCCUUACUACAAUCAGAUCGAGCAGAAAGAACUGCUUGUUGCCUGAUUUCA